AGCCGCCACCGUGGCCGACCCUGAUCUUGUGAAGGUCUAGUUGGAGCACGCCGUGUCGGGAACCAAAGAUGGUGAACAUGCGGCCGGCGCGAAGCCAGAGGAAACCUUGGACAGGCUCGAAGCUACUGACGUGCAAGCGUUCGUCUAGACUUGAGGAUAGGGCCGAAGAACUAAUCGGAAACCAUCUUAGUAGCUGGCCUCCGAAGUUUCCCUCAGGAUAGCUGGAGCCCAUUACGAGUUCUAUCGGGUAAAGCCAAUGAUUACAGGCAUUGGGGGCGCAACGCCCUCGACUUAUUCUCAAACUUUAAAUAGGUAGGACGGCACGGCUGCUCCGGUGAGCCAUGCCACGGAAUCGAGAGCUCCAAGUGGCCAUUUUUGGUAAGCAGAAAUGGCGAUGCGGGAUGAACCGAAAGCCGGGUUACGGUGCCCAAACUGCGCGCUACCUAGAACCCACAAAGGGUUUUGGUCGAUUAAGACAGCAGGAUGGUGGUCAUGGAAGUCGAAAAUCCGCUAAGGAGUGUGUAACAACUCACCUGCCGAAUCAAAUAGCCCCGAAAAUGGAUGGCGCUGAAGCGCGCGACCCACACCCGGCCAUCUGGGCGAGCGCCAUGCCCCGAUGAGUAGGAGGGCGCGGCGGUCACUGCAAAACCUAGGGCGCGAGCCCGGACGGAGCGGCCGUCGGUGCAGAUCUUGGUGGUAGUAGCAAAUAUUCGAAUGAGAACUUUGAAGGCCGUAGAGGGGAAAGGUUCCAUGUUAACGGCACUUGCACAUGGGUAAGCCGAUCCUAAGGGUCGGGGUAACCCCGGCAGACAGCGCGAUCUCGCGCGUCCCCGGAAAGGGAAUCGGGUUAAGAUUUCCCGAGCCGGGACGUGGUGGUUGACGGCGACGUUAGGAAGUCCGGAGACGCCGGUGGGGGCCUCGGGAAGAGUUAUCUUUUUUUUCUGUUUAACAGCCUGCCCACUCUGGAAACGGCUCAGCCGGAUGUAGGGUCCAGCGGCUGGAAUAGCACCGCACGUCGCGUGGUAUCCGGUGCGCCCCCGGCGGCCCUUGAAAAUCCGGAGAGGACGAUAUCCGUCCACGGCCCGGUCGUACCAUAAACCGCAUCAGGUCUCCAAGGUGAACAGCCUCUGGCCAAUGGAACAAUGUAGGCAAGGGAAGUCGGCAAAACGGAUCCAUAACUUCGGGAAAAGGAUUGGCUCUGAGGGUUGGGCUCGGGGGUCCCGGCCCCGAACCCGUCGGCUGCCGGCGGACUGCUCGAGCUGCUCCCGCGGCGAGAGCGGGCCGCCGCGUGCCGGCCGGGGGACGGACCGGGAACGGUCUCCUCGGGGGCCUUCCCCGGGCGUCGAACAACCGACUCAGAACUGGUACGGACAAAGGGAAUCCGACUGUUUAAUUAAAACAAAGCAUUGCGAUGGUCCCCGCGGAUGCUAACGCAAUGUGUUUUCUGCCCAGUGCUCUGAAUGUUAAAGUGAAGAAAUUCAACCAAGCUCGGGUAAACGGCGGGAGUAAAUAUGACUCUCUUAAGGUAGCUAAAUGCCUCGUCAUCUAAUUAGUGACGCGCAUGAAUGAAUUAACGAGAUUCCCACUGUCCUGUCUACUAUCCAGCGAAACCACUGCCAAGGGAACGGGCUUGGCCGAAUCAGCGGGGAAAGAAGAACCUGUUGAGCUUGACUCUAGACCGACUUUGUGAAAUGACUUAAGAGGUGUAGGAUAAGUGGGAACUUCGGCGCAAGUGAAAUACACUACUUUUAACGUUAUUUAACUUAUUUUCCGUGGGUCGUGGCAGAAGCGGAGCAUCGCCCCUCCUUUUGCUCUAAGCCCGGCCUCGGCGGGUCGAUCCGGGUGGAGGACAUUGUCAGGUGGGAGUUUGGCUGGGGCGGCAAAUCUGUUAAAAGAUAACGCAAGUGUCCUAAGAUGAGCUCAACGAGAACAGUAAUCUCGUGUGGAACAAAAGCGUAAAAGCUCGUUUGAUUCUGAUUCAGUACGAAUACGAACCGCGAAAGCGUGGC
rnacentral:rRNA from 1 species